GGCUUUGGACCUGGAGGAGCUGGUACCGGCUUUGGACCUGGUGGAGGAGUUGGGCCUGGUGGUGCUGGUACUGGCUUUGGACCUGGUGGAGCUGCUACCGGCUUUGGACCUGGUGGAGGAGUUGGGCCUGGUGGUGCUGGUACUGGCUUUGGACCUGGUGGAGCUGGUACCGGCUUUGGACCUGGUGGAGGAGUUGGGCCUGGUGGUGCUGGUACUGGCUUUGGACCUGGUGGGGGGACCAGAUCGCAAGGACAUGAUGUCGACGCAAAAGCCCGUAAAUAUGGCAUGUUGAGCGGUACUCUGGGAGGACCUGGUGGUG
ensembl:lncRNA